rnacentral:rRNA from 1 species
AUGGUUGACCUCGGAUCGAGGUAGGGAUACCCGCUGAACUUAAGCAUAUCAAUAAGCGGAGGA